AAUACUGUUGCAUGUCAAACAACUAGAAAAUACAGCAAUAUUAACAAUACCACUAAUUUGAAUAAGUUCUUUUUUUUUUUUUUUUUNNNNNNNNNNCCUCAGCGUCCUGAGUAGCUGGGACCACAGGCACACACAACCAUGCCCGGCUAAUUGUUUUUGUAUUUUUGGUACAGACAGGGUUUCACCUUGUUGUCCAGGCUGGUCUUGAACUCCUGAGCUCAAGUGAUGAGGCAGUAAAGAUGUUCUCAGUGGUUCUGUCCAGUUCUUCAUGUGUUUUGCACCCCUGCUGUUUGCCUCCAAGCCUCCUUUUGUUUCUACAA
rnacentral:lncRNA from 1 species